rnacentral:lncRNA from 1 species
GAGCUUGUUGCUGAGGAUAUUCAUCUGCAGCAUAUCGGACGUCGUAAGUUUAAACCAUACAGAGUACGUGGCAAUGUAUUGCAACUGUGAGAAAUUGCGACCAUCUCGUGAGGAGCCACGGCCUCUUUGCCAUUAUUAACAAGCUGGACGCACUGCUGUCUGGUGAUGUGAUAAUAUGCACGAGACUGGCACUGAUCAUUGCGUCCACAGGACGCCCACGCAAAUUCGAAUUUGGUGAGCGGCCGUCGCAGAGGUAACGGGAAUAUGUUUUAGCUGGAGGGGCCAUAGUUAUUAGCUGUUAUUAUACCGUCACAGCCAGCCAGGCUUGCAAACAGAUACUGUGCGCGUUUGUACUUGUUUUGCCGAACGUAGCACCAAAAACACUAUGCAUGAUCAUGCUAAGUCAUGUUCUCACUAAAACCAAUUCUGGCAUGACGAUAUCAGAAGGCUUCUAUAAAGGAAUCCGUGAAUUACGACCACUUCAGCCAAACUACUUCUGAAGGGCCCUCAGCCCUUCAUUGUGGGAUGAGCUCGGAAUUCAUGAUAACUCACGUUGGAACAAUGCAUACAGUCAUAAGUAAUUAAAACAAUCCCUGGCAUGGCGAUAUUACAAGGCUUUUGCAUGCUAAGUGGCCAUUUCAGCCGAACUCCGUCGAUAUGCUCUGAAGGCCCCUCAGCCCUUCGUUAUGAAAUGAGCACG